ACUACAUCAUUCUGGAGCCAUAAUACAAACCGAGGUACCUGUGGCUCCAAAACCAUGCACUUGACUCUCUCCCUAGGGCGCCUGAUGGCAGAAGCAACAGCUGCAAAGCUCUUUAGGGGCUUGUUUUCCAAGGGGAGGAGGGUCCAGAGCUCCGACGUCUCAUGAACCUUCUGGCUUCAAGCCCUGAGCAACUUAAUGAUACAUCAUUAGCAUUUGGCAGUCAUAAAUACCAGUCAAAAUUAGACCCUUGGAAACUCUCAGACCAAUCACGUAAAGUUAUCUAGUACUGGAGAAAAGCCCCUUCCGUGGAGAAAGCAGUGCCGGUCUCUUUAAGCCUGAUAAGACUGGUCAGGGACUCACACCACAAGGGAACGGGACGGCCUGUCUGCUUGCUGAGCACCGUGCGGCGAAAGCUGAGAGCUCUAGAAGGUGCCAAGGCAGCGUGCAGAAUGUACUGUCUUAAGAUCUGAAGUAACUCUGGGCAGCAGUGUCUAAGGUGUUCAUCUCCUAAUCCAAGGAGCGGCAGACCAGCUGGGUUGCGAAGGAGCAGUAGAGUGUCCAAGACUGUCCUGACUGUUUGGGAUGUGUCCCCUCCACAUUGCAGUGCUGGGAUGGCAGCCAGCUAUGUGCCAAAAGGAGGUUGAUCCCAACUCCAGAGAGAAGUCUGAUUGGUUUGGGUCAUGCCAUCACAUCAAUCAACUCUUCAGGAAUGAAGACGGCUUCCAAACCCAGGGGCCUGGGAAGAUCAACACAUGCUCAAAACUGAAUACCCAGUUCUUCCUUUUAGUAGCAAGGCUACCAGAAUACAAGUGCUUUCACCGCAUAAGCAGUCGUGUGCAUGGAGGCCAGUCCAGGGCAGAGAUCCCAGAACUGUCAGCUGCCAUCUUCGCCCAUGCACAGAGCAGGUGGAGGAGGCCCAGCUACAGAAGGAGAGCAAGAUGGAGACAGAGGAGUGAGAGAGAAGGAAAAGGAGAGAACAGGAAGAUCAAGGGAAGGGAAAGGGGAGAAAGAAAAGAAAGGGAAGAAAGAAAAGAAAUUUAAUUUAACCUCAGUAGAGAUACAACUGAAGCCAGCUGAUUCCUGAGCUAGUGUAAAUGGGGGUCUGCAACUGAGAGAGUCCUACCUAAUACAGAAGCUGUUCAGUCAGUCAUUCAUUUACCAAGUUAUUGUUUAUCUACUUUAUGCAGGUCACUAAAUGGAUAUGGGUGGGUGGGGGGACACAUGGUCCUUGACCUUAUAGAGCUUAUGCCUGGUAGGGGAAAUAAACAUUAUACACACACUCAUAUUCAAUUUAAAUAUAUACAUUCAGCUUUUCAUCUUAUGGAGGAAAAGAAUAGGGUACUGGGAAAUACAUGGGCGUAGAAUAAGAUAGAGAAGUCGUACAGUGUCAUUAGAAUAAUACUUACAGAAAAUGGCAGUGCAGGUGAGGCGGCAUGGUGUAAUCAGAGAAAACUUCAGUCAUGGUCGGAAGUUCAGGAGCCUCAUCCUAGCUCCAUCCAAAACCUCGAGAACCUUCCUCAUCAGCAGAGAUAUCCCUCGGAGAAAGAAGGCCAUAUGUAGUUCAGUGCCCUAGGAACAUCAUGGUCAUCACUAAAGUCUGCUUGCUCAUUGGUGAAGGCUGACCAACUGGUCUGAGGCUGCCUUCUCUGGCUCGACAGUCAGCUCCGUGCUGGGGCUCGUCUUCCGGGACUGUAAUACCUGCAUGAAUGAUCCUUCAGCUUUCCCUACAGAUGCUUCAUCGUUCCUGCAGAGGUAGCUGUCCAGUUUUGCCAACACCAGCUGUUGAAGAGGCUGUCAUUUCCCC